UGGUCCAAUGAUGACUGCUUGUGGAAUGUGAGUUAGAGACGGUGGAUGUUAUCUAUCUGAAACUCUGGGUUCCAA
ensembl:snoRNA